rnacentral:rRNA from 1 species
CCUACGGGAGGCUGCAGUGAGGAAUAUUGGUCAAUGGGCGCAAGCCUGAACCAGCCAUGCCGCGUGCGGGAAGAAGGCGCUACGCGUCGUAAACCGCUUUUGUCCGGGGGUAACCGCGGGGACGUGUCCCCGCCUGCAAGUACCGGACGAAUAAGGGUCGGCUAACUCCGUGCCAGCAGCCGCGGUAAUACGGAGGACCCGAGCGUUAUCCGGAUUCAUUGGGUUUAAAGGGUGCGUAGGCGGCCCGGUAAGUCAGCGGUGAAAGGCUCCUGCUC